rnacentral:rRNA from 1 species
AUUGAACGCUGGCGGCAGGCCUAACACAUGCAAGUCGAGCGGAGCGGCGGACGGGUGAGGAAUACCUAGGAAUCGGACUGGUAGUGGGGGAUAACGACCGGAAACGGGAGCUAAUACCGCAUACUAUCAGAUGAGCCUAGGUCGGAUUAGCUAGUUGGUGGGGUAAAGGCCUACCAAGGCGACGAUCCGUAACUGGUCUGAGAGGAUGAGCAGUCACACUGGAACUGAGACACGGUCCAUACGCCUACGGGAGGCAGCAGUGGGGAAUAUUGGACAAUGGGCGAAAGCCUGAUCCAGCCAUGCCGCGUGUGUGAAGAAGGUCUUCGGAUUGUAAAGCACUUUCAGUUGGGAGGCGUUACCAGCAGAAUAAGUACCGGCUAACUUCGUGCCAGCAGCCGCGGUAAUAC